rnacentral:rRNA from 1 species
GACGAACGCUGGCGGCGUGCUUAACACAUGCAAGUCGAGCGAUGAAAUUCCUUCGGGGAUGGAUUAGCGGCGGACGGGUGAGUAACACGUGGGUAACCUGCCUCAUAGAGGGGAAUAGCCUUUCGAAAGGAAGAUUAAUACCGCAUAAGAUUGUAGUUCCGCAUGGUACAGCCAUUAAAGGAGUAAUCCGCUAUGAGAUGGACCCGCGUUGCAUUAGCUUGUUGGUGAGGUAACGGCUCACCAAGGCGACGAUGCGUAGCCGACCUGAGAAGGUGAUUGGCCACAUUGGGACUGAGACACGGCCCAGACUCCUACGGGAGGCAGCAGUGGGGAAUAUUGCACAAUGGGGGAAACCCUGAUGCAGCAACGCCGCGUGAGUGAUGACGGUCUUCGGAUUGUAAAGCUCUGUCUUCAGGGACGAUAAUGACGGUACCUGAGGAGGAAGCCACGGCUAACUACGUGCCAGCCGCCGCCGUAA